rnacentral:lncRNA from 1 species
GACCUGGAAGGGUUUAUGUCCCUUCUGGCUCCUCCCUUCACGCAGUCUGCUUCCUGUCCACCAUACCUUGAUUGUUCACUACUUCUCCUUGUUUAGAAUACACUGAGUUAGUUUUCUGUUCUCUUGGUGGAUCCCUUGGGGCUAGAAUGUUUCUAUGAAUGUUCUUAUCUGGGUCUCCUUGGGGACUUAAUGUUUUCUUUUCUCAUGGGUAAAUGCCUUGGAUUGGAAUUGCUGGGAUAUAAGGGUAAUCCGUAUCCUGGAUUCUGGGGGAUUAUUUAAAGCAGUGGUGGUGAGUGGAUGGCACAUGUGCCACAGCGGACACGCAGAGCCCUCUCUGUCGUAUGUUCUGUCUGGCGUUCACAGUGGACAACUGGGAGUUCACAGUGGAUAACUGCAUGAGGAUCCAUCUUUCAGGAUUCUCCUUCACCAUUUGGGUGCCACUUCCCACUCCAUGUCACCUAGACACCUGGUCACCCACCUAGAGAUGUCAUUUUCCAGGGAUUGAACUUGGGACCUUGUGCUUGCAAGGCAGGCGCCGGAACCACUGAGCCAAAUCCCCGGCCCAGGAACUGGUAUUUUAAACAAGCAUCCCAAAGGAUUCCGAUGCAGUGGUCCCUCGACAUUCACCUGGCUACUUUAUGUCUUGCUGAAGAUGCAAAACUUGCUCUGGCUGAAAUUCUCCUUUUAUCCUUUCUACCAGUAAGUGUCUCUUAGAGAAACUGGGACACUUUCACUAUGGCUCUUCCCUGCAUUCCUGGGGGUGAAGCAGCCACCACAGGAAGCAAAACAGCAAGAGAGAGGCUGAUUCAGCACAUACUGAGGCGCAGCCACAAGCCCAGGAGCUUCUUAGUGGCCUCCUGAUCUUAUCGAAGGACAUUGUCCUUUCCUGGAACCUCACUGCCUUCUGCAGUAUCUUUAUUUGUAUCGUAUCGUAAGGCUGUCCCACUCGCUUUGCACUGAGAAGUGUUGCUCUGAAACUAUUUACUGUGAAUAAACUUUCUUGGUAAUGCCACGUUUGUUCAGAACCUUGACCAACAAUAUGCUCUUGAUGGCUGUUCUCAUGGUCUCAGGGGAGGAGAUGGGUAGGAGGAGGAAGAGUGGCUUCUGCUGUGAUUUUUUUUUAAUAGUGGGAGAAUCCAAAUGGGAAAAUGGAUAAAUACAUUGUCUUCUAGCUAAAAGCUAGAAGUAAACUUUGAAGGUUGGAUUAACGAUUUCUUCAAGCAGAGAUUAAGUACUGUUCCAGUAAAUAUCACAUCCACCUAAGAAUUAGAUUUCAG